rnacentral:tRNA from 1 species
GCAUUAAUGGGGCGGUGGUAACCUUAGUCGUUGCCAUCGACCAGCCGCGAGUUCGAUUCUCGCUUAAUGCA